rnacentral:rRNA from 1 species
UACGUAGGGGGCAAGCGUUGUCCGGAUUUAUUGGGCGUAAAGAGCGUGUAGGCGGUUUGGUAGGUCCGUUGUGAAAACUCGAGGCUCAACCUCGAGACGCCGAUGGAAACCAUCAGACUAGAGUCCGGAAGAGGAGAGUGGAAUUCCUGGUGUAGCGGUGAAAUGCGCAGAUAUCAGGAAGAACACCCGUGGCUAAGGCGGCUCUCUAGUACGGUACUGACGCUGAGACGCGAAAGCGUGGGGAGCGAACAGG